GACGAACGCUGGCGGCGUGCUUAACACAUGCAAGUCGAACGGAAAGGCCCUGCUUUUGUGGUGUGCUCGAGUGGCGAACGGGUGAGUAACACGUGAGUAACCUGCCCUUGUCUUUGGGGUAACUUCAGGAAACUGGGGCUACUACCGUAUAGGAGCUCCUGCUGCAUGGUGGGGGUUGGAACGUUUCGGCUGUUGGGGAUGGACUCGCGGCUUAUCAGCUUGUUGGUGGGCUAGUGGCUUACCCAGGCUUUGACGGGUAGCCGGCCUGAGAGGGUGACCGGCGACAUUGCGACUGAGAGAGGGACCAGACUCCAACGGGGGGCAGCAGGGGGGAAUAUUGCACAACGGGCGGAAGCCGGAUGCAGAAACGCCGCGUGCGGGAUGACGGCCUUCGGGGUGUAAACAGCUUUCGCCUGUGACGAAGCGUGAGUGACGGUAAUGGGUAAAGAAGCACCGGCUAACUACGUG
rnacentral:rRNA from 1 species